CAUUUGAUUUAUUCUUUGAUUCUGUGAUCCUGGCAGAGCUGGGCCUCCUCCUUCAGGAGGUGAGAUGCUUUUGUUUACCUUCUUCAUCACAACAUCGAGAGCUCUGGAGAUGUGAGAAGUCAGCUGUUAUUAAUAAAAUCCUAGUUAACAUAAAAUCACUGGACAGUUUAGCUUGGGAGCAACCUCUGAGUGUCACCAUCUCCAGGUAGAAAGAGGUUCAACUUUUGUUCCAUCAGCACUAACACUUUACGUCCUAUUUCAAACCUUGCAUUCACAAAUUGUAACCUGUAAUACAAAAAAAGUAAACCAGUGGCUUUUUUCCCUGCAGAAAGGUCACAAGCAUUUUGUGGAGCCCACAGAGGGAUUCCUGCGUGUGCUGAGCCUGGUUUCCUGCAGGGCUGUUCCCCAGCGUGGGAAGAUCCACAAGGUUUGAUUAAAAGUUUUCCCCUAUUUCA